GGUAAGAUGGCCGAGUUGAGGUGGUAGAUUGUAAAUCUAUAGACGAAGGUAAAACUUCUCUUACUA
rnacentral:tRNA from 1 species